rnacentral:rRNA from 1 species
UGGCGGACGGGUGAGUAAUGUCUGGGAAACUGCCCGAUGGAGGGGGAUAACUACUGGAAACGGUAGCUAAUACCGCAUAAUGUCUACGGACCAAAGCGGGGGACCUCCGGGCCUCGCGCCAUCAGAUGAACCCAUAUGGGAUUAGCUAGUAGGUAAGGUAACGGCUUACCUAGGCGACGAUCCCUAGCUGGUCUGAGAGGAUGAUCAGCCACACUGGGACUGAGACACGGCCCAC